rnacentral:rRNA from 1 species
UGCCUCAUGGGCAAGAUGACUAAAACACCGUUCUCCGGUACUAUGGAGAGAGCAACAGAUUUGUUGGAAAUCAUACAUACCGAUGUAUGUGGCCCGAUGAAUAUUGAGGCUCGUGGCGGAUAUCGUUAUUUUCUCACCUUCACAGAUGAUUUAAGCAGAUAUGGGUAUAUUUACUUAAUGAAACAUAAGUCUGAAACAUUUGAAAAGUUCAAAGAAUUUCAGAGUGAAGUUGAAAAUCAUCGUAACAUGAAAAUAAAGUUUCUACGAUCUGAUCGUGGAGGAGAAUAUUUGAGUUACGAGUUU